GUCUUUGGCUAGAAUUUGUCCAAAGAUUUUUCUCUCUCUUAAAUUACAGGGACAGGUGGGACACCAAUAUUCCAGGAAAGACUGAGCAGUAAUUCCAGAGGAAGAGGAGGAACUAUGGACGGGUGUAUGGAGGGCAGAACUGAGAGCAAGGACAUCUGAGACUCUAGCCCAGGUUUGUCAGCACACCUGAGAUGGUGGCAAGAUUUGGAAAAGGAGUUACAGUAAGUACUUAUUUGAAAAGAACUUUCUGAUAAGUCUGCUUGGGGAAGAAGUUGAAAUUCCAAAGACUUCAGUAUUUUAGAGAACGGAGUGAAAACACAUACUCUACCUGAGGUUGGCCUCAUUUUUUCCCGCUGAUGCAAGGAGGCUCUAAGCCUAUUUCCUUACAGCUUAUGAUCCAAAGGAAAGAGACCUUCUCUAUCUCAGCAUCCACACAUCAGAUCUCAAGGGAGGCUGCUUGGACCUGUUUGGUCAUAUGCAUAUGAGUUGACCAGUCAUAGUGGACAUACAGAUGAGGUACCAGGACUGGCCAGCCCUGGGCCCUGUGUCCACCCCUGCGGACAGGCAGCUGAUGGAGCUCCGUGAAUGACCAGCACUGUGGGAACCACAGGGGAGGUGCUAGUUCUUGAGCAGGAAAAGGAGCACUGGGCAGAUAAAAUCAUCAGAUGUCCACUCCAGUUGCAUGUUUUUGGCAUAAAAAGCCAUUUCAACCAAUUUGUUUGUUAGCUCUCAGUAUAGCUGAGGUUCAUGAGUGCUACAAUUUUUUUGUAUCAAAAGCAGCAUACAGUUUUAAGACAAUGCUUCUCAAACUGCAAUUUGCUCAUGAAUGAACCUGUUAAAUGCAGGUUCUCAUUCAGCCAGUCUGGGGUGGGAUGUGGGAUUCUUUAUGUCUUACAAGAUUAUACUAGUCUCCUCAGGCUGCCAUAAAAACCACAGAUUGGGUGACUUAAACUACAGAAAUUAGUAUUCUCACAGUUCUGGAGGCUGGAAGUCCAAGAUCAAGUCUGGUUUCUGGUGAAGACUCUCUUCCCGGCUUGCAGAUGGCUCCUUCUUGCUGUGUCCUCAAAUGGCCUUGCCUCUGUGCAUGAGCGGACAGAGUGAGACCUCUCAUGUCUCUUCCUCUUUUUAUAAGGACACCAGUGCUGUUAGAUUAGAGGCCUGCCCUCAUGACCUUAUUUGACUUUAAUUACCUCCUUAAAGGCUCUAUCUCCAAAUAUAGUUACAUUGGGGAUUAGGGCUUCAAUAUAUGAAUUUGGUGGGGGGUGGGUAAUGACUCAGUCCAUAACAAAACUUAGAGCUAAGUCUGGGUCCUGCAGCAUCAGCACCACCUGCCUGGCCAGCAGUGCUACAGUUGGUCAGAGGAGGGCCUAGAACUGCACGGCAACAAGAACGCACGGGAGAAGCUGCACUCCGAGCAUCUGGAAGGACCAGACGCUGUGGUUGGUUCUCUCAAGAUCCUCUGGAUCCAAAGACCCCUCUUCUACUUGGAGGCCAAAUUGAAGAGUGAUGACAUUUAGGCAGAGAGUACAGACGGAUGGGAGGGGAGAAGAGGGUGGGGGUAGCCUGGGGCUGCACUGAGGAUGCAGCUGCAGGGAUGGGGUACAGGAACCAGGACAGAGAGUAAGUCACGCAUUUAAUAGCCAUUCCUUCCAAGUGCCCAUGAGGUCCCUACAAGGGAAGGAGGGUCUUUAUAACCGGGGGCAGGCUUGCAUUUUGGUUGUUGUGACAGAAUGAGAGGCACACUGCACUGAGCUGGGUUUCUCCCUCUUCCAUCCUUUGUCUGAUAAGAGCAAUUUCUGGGGAGUUUUUUUUUAUACAUGUUCUACCCCUAGACACACACACACACACACACACACACACACACACACAAGUUGCUUGAGCAAAGAUGUCAUUACUAAACCCUGCUCAGUUGGUGGUACACAAACCUCCCUGAGCAGAACUUUCUUGACCAGUUCUACAGGAGAAAAAUGCAGAUACCACUACACUCCCAGCCACCCAAGCAGGCAGGAAGCCCAAGUACCUAGAUGUGUCCCUCCCGCUGACCAUGCCCUUUGAGAUCUCCCCCUCCCCAGUGCCCUCCCUCCUUCAACUCAUCACCUCUCCCUUGCCUGCCGUCCAGCCUGGAUGGGAACAGGCCCAGGCCAAGCCAGCCAUGCACAAUACUUCAGUUCUUUUUCUUACACACCAGUGAUAGUGUGAGGGAGGAGCUGCUGCCCCAUAACCUCCCUUCCAGGUUGUAACACAGGUGUUUUUAAGCUGGGGUCUGAGAAAUGCAUCUUCACUUUUUGUUAGCCUCUAAUGAAAUUCAGCCUUUCCUCUAGCCAUGAAUAGAGGCAAAAACCACCACAAUGUUUGCAACUCCUGUGAUUCUGCAGCAGGAGAAAUCAUGAACGUUUUUGUAUCACGUUAUAGACACUGUGGAUAGCUCAGAAUGUCAUUUAUCCUUAUCGCUACAGCAUAAGUAUUAGGACCGUCACUGGAUUAGGUUAUUGCACAAUUUCUGUUAAUGAAGAGGCACAGUAAAGGUUAAGGACCUCUGCUUUGGAUUGUGACUUAAAGGUCCGAGAAGGUUCCCCAGCAAAGAUGGCUGCAGCCCUGCCCUGUGGGUUCCGAGUCUGGGGCCUCAAUCACUCAUAUGUUCCAGCGGCGGCUUGAGACAGACCUAGAGUGGGUAGUUUCUGAGAAGAAUCUUGUCUGGGCCUCAGGUGAGGCCUGGUCUGCUCUGUGUAGUGCUGGGGCGCCCCCUUCCCCUCUCCCCGAGUUGGGCCAUCUCCAGCCCUCCCUCAGUCUUUUGUCUAAGCAUUGGGAAAGGCCUGUGACAGGACAGAAACUGAAUGAAAAUACGUCUGUAAACUAUUUGCCGUCUAAUUCUCUACUCCUGGGUAGAUCCCUCUCCAAGCCUACCUCCCCCGUGGGCCCCCACCCAGCACAGGGGACCGUGUCAGCCGCCCAGACACACUGUGCGUGUCCUCUGUUCUGUCCUGCUUAUCUCUUACACAUGAGGCUCUGACUCAGAUGCCCUCCUCCCAGCCAUCUGUCAAGAUCCGGCUGUCCUCCUGUGCCCAGUCACUUCUUGGCUCAAGAUUUACUUUAAAAACAAAUGAUUAAGGUGAAGUUCACAUCACACAAAACAAAUCAUUACAGAGUGAACAAUUUCACGGCAUCGAGUACAUUUACAAUGUCAUGCAACCACCAUCCCUAUCUAGUUCCAAAACACUGCCGGCAUUCCAAAAUAAAACUUCCACUCGUUAACACUCUCAUUCAGCACUCUCCCAGCCCCUGGCAACCUCCAGUCUGCAUUCAGUCUCUAUGGAUUUGCACAUCCUGGAUAUUUCCUGUGAAUGGAAUCACACAGCAUGUGACCUUU